GACGAACGCUGGCGGCGUGCUUAACACAUGCAAGUCGAGCGGAGACAAUUGACUUCGGUUGGUUGUUUUAGCGGCGGACGGGUGAGUAACGCGUGAGCAAUCUGUCCCAGACAGGGGGAUAACACUUGGAAACAGGUGCUAAUACCGCAUAAGACCACGAGAUCACAUGGUUUCGGGGUAAAAAGGAGGAAUCCGGUUUGGGGUGAGCUCGCGUCCGAUUAGCUGGUUGGUGAGGUAACGGCCCACCAAGGCGACGAUCAGUAGCCGACCUGAGAGGGUGACCGGCCACAUUGGGACUGAGACACGGCCCAA
rnacentral:rRNA from 1 species